GGGGAGAAGACAUUGUGUCUUCGAGUCGUUGAUUUCACACUGCCGAGAAAAGCCUCUAGAUAGAAAAUAGGUGCCCGUACCGCAAACCGACACAGGUAGUCAAGAUGAGAAUUCUAAGGUGAGCGAGCGAACUCUCGUUAAGGAACUCGGCAAAAUGACCCCGUAACUUCGGGAGAAGGGGUGCUCUUUAGGGUUAACGCCCAGAAGAGCCGCAGUGAAUAGGCCCAAGCGACUGUUUAUCAAAAACACAGGUCUCUGCUAAACCGUAAGGUGAUGUAUAGGGGCUGACGCCUGCCCGGUGCUGGAAGGUUAAGAGGAGUGGUUAGCUUCUGCGAAGCUACGAAUCGAAGCCCCAGUAAACGGCGGCCGUAACUAUAACGGUCCUAAGGUAGCGAAAUUCCUUGUCGGGUAAGUUCCGACCCGCACGAAAGGCGUAACGAUUUGGGCACUGUCUCAACGAGAGACUCGGUGAAAUCAUAGUACCUGUGAAGAUGCAGGUUACCCGCGACAGGACGGAAAGACCCCGUGGAGCUUUACUGUAGCCUGAUAUUGAAAUUCGGCACAGCUUGUACAGGAUAGGUAGGAGCCUUUGAAACGUGAGCGCUAGCUUACGUGGAGGCGCUGGUGGGAUACUACCCUAGCUGUGUUGGCUUUCUAACCCGCACCACU
rnacentral:rRNA from 1 species